UACUCCUAGCAAUGGGCAAGGAGACGCCUGGUUGGCAGUGGUGUUCUUAUACCAGUCAGGGGCAGAGUAGACGGCAGUUCUUUGCUCACACUAGCCUGAUGCCUGGCUUGGUGGCCAAAGCUGUUUUAUGCCUAGGACGUAUAA